UACGUAGGGUGCAAGCGUUAUCCGGAAUUAUUGGGCGUAAAGAGCUCGUAGGCGGUUUGUCGCGUCUGCUGUGAAAACUGGAGGCUCAACCUCCAGCUUGCAGUGGGUACGGGCAAACUAGAGUGCGGUAGGGGAGAUUGGAAUUCCUGGUGUAGCGGUGGAAUGCGCAGAUAUCAGGAGGAACACCGAUGGCGAAGGCGGUUCUCUGGGCCUGACCUGACGCUGAGGAGCGAAAGCGUGGGGAGCGAACAGG
rnacentral:rRNA from 1 species